GACGAACGCUGGCGGCGUGCUUAACACAUGCAAGUCGAACGGAAAUGCCCUGCUUGCAGGGUACUCGAGUGGCGAACGGGUGAGUAACACGUGGGUGAUCUGCCCUGCACUUCGGGAUAAGCCUGGGAAACUGGGUCUAAUACCGGAUAGGAGCCAUUUUUAGUGUGAUGGUUGGAAAGUUUUUUCGGUGUAGGAUGAGCUCGCGGCCUAUCAGCUUGUUGGUGGGGUAAUGGCCUACCAAGGCGGCGACGGGUAGCCGGCCUGAGAGGGUGGACGGCCACAUUGGGACUGAGAUACGGCCCAGACUCCGACGGGAGGCAGCAGUGGGGAAUAUUGCACAAUGGGCGCAAGCCUGAUGCAGCGACGCCGCGGGGGGGAUGACGGCCUUCGGGUUGUAAACUCCUUUCGCUAGGGACGAAGCUUUUUGUGACGGUACCUAGAUAAGAAGCACCGGCUAACUACGUG
rnacentral:rRNA from 1 species